rnacentral:misc_RNA from 1 species
AACGCACAUUGCGCCCUUUGGUAUUCCUUAGGGCAUGCCUGUUCGAGCGUCAUUUACACCCUCAAGCGCAGCUUGGUGUUGGGCGUCUGUCCCCCGGGACUCGCCUCAAAAAGAUUGGCAGCCACUUCAGCGGCUUUGAGCGCAGCAGAAUUGCGACCUCUGGCAGCGGAAGGCGGCAUCCACAAGCUUUCUAUCAUUUUGACCUCGGAUCAGGUAGGGAUACCCGCUGAACUUAA